UCUGCCUAUCUUCUCUUACUUUAAAACAAAUGUUACCAUUGAAUCAAGGAAGCAAUAGCCAUGAGAAAAAAGAAGGAUCUGACGCCUUUGAAUGAAGAUUCAAAACAUGAUCUUCAUGUUUUGUAUUAGCUUGGAGUAAAAUCCACUUGCUGGCAAUAUAGCCCUUAAGCUUGUUGCCUCUUCUCUUUGUUUCAGAAACUAGAGCCCUGUUUAUUCUGAUCAAGGCUCUGGCCCACUGUCUUUAUCUCAGAUAACCCACCCUCUU
rnacentral:lncRNA from 1 species